rnacentral:rRNA from 1 species
UGGGGAAUUUUGGACAAUGGGCGCAAGCCUGAUCCAGCAAUGCCGCGUGCAGGAUGAAGGCCCUCUGGGUUGUAAACUUCUUUUAUAUGGGACGAAAAAGGGUCUUUCUAGAUCAACUGACGGUACCAUGUGAAUAAGCACCGGCUAACUCCGUGCCAGCAGCCGCGGUAAUACGUAGGGUGCGAGCGUUAAUCGGAAUUACUGGGCGUAAAGCGUGCGCAGGCGGUUAUGUAAGACAGAUGUGAAAUCCCCGGGCUCAACCUGGAACUGCGUUUGUGACUGCAUAACUAGAGUACGGCAGAGGGAGGUGGAAUUCCGCGUGUAGCAGUGAAAUGCGUAGAGAUGCGGAGGAACACCGAUGGCGAAGGCAGCCUCCUGGGCCAGUACUGACGCUCAUGCACGAAAGCGUGGGGAGCAAACA